rnacentral:miRNA from 1 species
CCAAGCCUCCCAGGGAAGAAGG